AGCUCUGAAGUGUUAUCAUACUAGAUUGCAAAUCUAGGGAAGCAGGUUAGUAGCCUGCCGGGGCUU
rnacentral:tRNA from 1 species